rnacentral:lncRNA from 10 species
AACUUCCACACUGGAAUGUUUAAUCAAACCAUCUGCAAGGUCAUCUUUCAGAGACACUGCAGCAGACAGAGACUGGCUGGGAGUUUGACUCAAAGGUCUGUUUGGACUAUAGGAUCCUGCAUUGUAGGAGAAGUCUGCUAGUUUGUGCUGAAACAGCAGGAUGGAGGAGCUCACCAAUGGAAUGAGUAGAGUCAUAUAUGAAAGGAAAGGGGAGUCAGCCAGUAGUCUACAUGAGCCCAGCCAUAGAGAACCUCUCAGCGUGCUUUCAUCACCCAGUCAUGGUCAGGUCCUGGUAUAAAACUUCCUACAUACAGAGAAGAGAAAACUUGAGUCUGUCACGCUAUCUUGAGGAAGAAGGGGAAAGUCAUAAAGCUUCUUUAGAAAUGGUCCGGGAGAGAGACAGAAGAAGUAAAAGGAUGAGGCCAUAUCCCAGAAGCCAAGAAGGCAGAUUCUGUCGAAGAGGGUGACAGGGUGCCCUACACUGUAAAAUGCUUCAAACAGAUUUAGGAGAGUGAGGACCAAAAAGCUGUGACCUUGACAACCAGAAAUUCACAGUGACCUUUGAGGAAACAGUUUUCUCAAGAUGUGGAAAUGGAAGUCAGAAUGCAAAGAGUUGAGGAGCAAGUGCAUGGUGGUGAAGCCAACCUAUUUUUUAAUUAACCAGGGUCAAUGUACUUUAAAAGUCUUCAGAAUGCCUGUAAGUUUCCUUUACUAGUUCCAUGUACUUUCUUGUUUUCCCAUAAAAAUCUGGAUUUGUGGCAGAAGAGAAUGAAAAAAAUUAAAAAUUAAAAGCGCUGCUUUUCCUUAAGCACUGACAAAAUACAAUAAAAGCUGAUUCUUAUUAAG